AGUCGAACGGUGGUAGCAAUGCCAUAGUGGCGCACGGGUGCGUAACACGUAACUAACCUACCUAUAACUGGGGGAUAGCCCGCCGAAAGGCGGAUUAAUACCGCAUAAGCUCUUUGGCUGGCAUCAGCUGAUUAGUAAAGAUUUAUUGGUUAUAGAUGGGGUUGCGGGUCAUUAGCUAGUUGGUAAGGUAACGGCUUACCAAGGCGACGAUGACUAGGGGAGCUGAGAGGCUGGUCCCCCACACGGGCACUGGGAUACGGGCCCGACUCCUACGGGAGGCAGCAGUAGGGAAUAUUGGGCAAUGGGCGAGAGCCUGACCCAGCCAUGCCGCGUGCAGGAAGAAGGCUUUCUGAGUCGUAAACUGCUUUUGACAGGGAAGAAUAAGGACUACGUGUAGUCUGAUGACGGUACCUGCAGAAUAAGCACCGGCUAACUCCGUGCCAGCAGCCGCGGUAAUACGGAGGGUGCGAGCGUUGUCCGGAUUUAUUGGGUUUAAAGGGUGCGUAGGCGGCCGUUUAAGUCCGGGGUGAAAGCCCGCUGCUCAACAGCGGAACUGCCCUGGAUACUGGACGGCUUGAGUACAGACGAGGUUGGCGGAAUGGACCGAGUAGCGGUGAAAUGCAUAGAUACGGUCCAGAACCCCGAUUGCGAAGGCAGCUGACUAGGCUGUUACUGACGCUGAGGCACGAAAGCGUGGGGAGCGAACAGGAUUAGAUACCCUGGUAGUCCACGCCGUAAACGAUGGAUACUCGCUGCGAGCUAAAGAUUGUUCGUGGCUUAGGGAAACCGAUAAGUAUCCCACCUGGGGAGUACGCUCGCAAGAGUGAAACUCAAAGGAAUUGAU
rnacentral:rRNA from 1 species